AUGUAAUUUGGUAAGUAGUGAUGAUUUUGUAGAUAUAUACAUAUCUGACAUAUAUUAAACAGCAGGUUUCUGUAUAGGAGGGAGGAAAAUGGGAAAGUGAAUAUGGGGUGAAAAGAAAAAAGUAUUAAACAAGGAUGAGACCUUGCAUGGAGCUGUGAUCAUAGCAUGAAAUGAACAGAGAAGUAGGAUUAUUCUAGCUGUGUGCACUUAAGACCAAAAGAGGAAAAUAUGAAUCUAGCCUCCCUCUUUUUCACCUUGUACCUGAAUAAUUAGUUACAGCUCAUAAGAAUUCUCCUUGUGUGACCUUCUGCCAUGGAAAUGAGACAACAACUCCAAUGAAAUGUUGAUGACUUGGCUGGACUUUUCCAGAUGAGCCUCAGAAGCAAGUAAAUUUAUUUAUGUCAAGAAAGAACAUCUAAAUGUUAAUUAUUCCAAAAGGGAAAAGAGGCAAAGGGGAGAUUCUAUCAACAACUCAUUUGGCUAUUUGGCAGGAAGUGGUAAGAGUGGUGGGGAAGGGAGAGUAGGGUUUCCAUUUGUUGGAAACAUUAAGGUUCUUCUUGCUCUGCCUUAAGUCUUGUUGGAGGCAUAUUUAGGUUCUAGUCUCACUCUCAGACUGGAGAUAUCUUAUCCUGCCUUACAGCCCUGAGCUUUGGAAUGGCUUCUCUGUGUUGCAUUAAACACUCAGCAACAACUCACAGGAGUAAUUUUCCAGGAAGCCUUAGCCCUGCCUGGAAGUGUGACAGCAGCAGCAUCCAAACCAGUGUGGGUGGCCUCUAGAACACCAGAAGACAAAUUUGAGUGCUGUAUUUUCAAAAUAAAGCACUACCUUUAUUGAAUACUAACCCAGAGAGCAUCUAAAUUUUCUAAGAAGAACACAAAGUAUCUGUGCUUUUAUUGGUGGAUGAAAUCAAAUGUGAAAGGGUCUUAGCUCAAUCAUAAAAACUUUUCAUACUUUUUUUUUUUAAAUGUAAGGUUCUAAUCUUUUAUUAAGGGUUGGACAUUUAAUCUGAGCAUUCUAGACUAAGCUCAUAGUUAGGGAUUCAGUCUUUUCAAUGGAUCUCCUAACAUUUGAAAAUCUCUUCUUUGGUCUGAGGAAUGAGUUGUGUCUUUGUUUCUCAUUCUGAGAUCAAGACAUACUGAUUUAUUUCUGUGGCUCAUGGGGGAUUUAGUGUUCAUUCUUUUUUAAUUGCUUCUAAGAGACUAAGCAUAAACUGUUAACUUCUAACAAGGAACAUAAUGAAGGAGCACUAAACAAGUUUAAUGGCAUAAUAUUAUUUAGCAUCCAUACUUAUUUGUGUUUGGGGGCAUAUAAAUGAAUGUAAAUACCAUUUGCUAAGAAAUAAACAAUAGUACAGAAAAAAUAAUGAAGUCUCUGGGGCAGGUUUGGGACAAGCCACUUUUUUACACAAACAUCAAAUUAUCCAUUUUCCAUGCGGUUUUCUUUGCCAGGAUUUUGGAUUUGUAAUCUCUCUAAUUGCCUUGCUCCUGAAAAGGAAUUAUAAAACUAUGUGUCAGCCAAACCAAAGUUGGGGAUGCAACUCAAGCUUCCAAUUUUUCCUUGGAUUUGAGAAUUAUAGCAAGUUUAGAAAAUAAAGUGGAGACAAUAGAAGAACCUAUUUUCAGAAAGAAUACUAUAUAUUUGAUUUGGGGCAUGUGGAGUUUAAGAAGCCCAUCAAAUCUUUGUGUGCUAGUGACUGAGCUAGAGCAAUUGGCUAAACAAGACAGAAUUUGGGGUAGAAUUUCUAUUUGGGGACUCACUGAUGUGGUUUAUGGACGUGUCAUUAUAUGUCAAACAGUACUGCACAUACAUUAAUUCAUUUUACAGGUGAAGAAACCAAGGUCAGAAAGGUUGAAUACACAUCCUGAGAUCUCAAAGCUAAGUUAAAGGCGAGUUGGAAUUCAAAUCCACACAGUUUUUCAGAUGCUAUACAGUCAUCAGCGACCUUGCUGGAAACAGAAGAAAUCCCGGAGGGGCAGAACAUAGAGAAAGAAUUGAAUGUUCUUUAGCGCAUACCAACCUAUACUUUCUAUGGGUCUUUUGAUCAGUAUUUAUGAUGGAAACAGUUAAGUUUUGAGUCAUGGAAUGAUACAUUUUCAGUUGACGGGGUAUUUUAUUGAGCUACUGAAAGACUAAAUCUGAUUUGGUUAGGAAGUAUGUGGGCUCCAAUAUGAAAUCAACAUAGUGAGUGGUCUUAAAUGCAUCAUGAAAGAUAUUUCCAAAAUCAGAUUUCUGUGACAAAGAAGGCAAUUCUGCAACCCGAACACUAAUGCUUUCUCCACGCCAUUGACAACACUUAUAAGGUGGUGCUGGUGAGAAAUUCACCUUCAACAAUCUCACAGGCUCAUCAAAUUUCUGGAUUUAGGUCAGUCAGUCAGUACUGGGGCCACACCAACCCUUUAGACACACCUUGGAUAAAUGGAUCCUUUUAUGACAGGUCAACAAAUGUUACUUUUCCCAUUUCCAAAUUUUAGUGGAAAUAUUUUAAAUAGCUUGAAGUCUAAUAUCUCACUUCUACCUCUACAUCUUGAAGACCCCUUUCACCACACACUAGGGACAGAAAAACAAACCUCUUUGUGCUUCAGACUUUUGCUGUUGUUAUUUUAGUUUGCCCUUUCUUGGCACCCAUGCCAAUGCAUUUUAUGAGAACUGGCAGUGAGAAAUUGAAGAGGAUCUAUAUUUGAGCCAAUACGUUUUCAAGAGCACUGAAGUUCCUAUUCUGGAUUCUCCAAUUUGCUUGUUUUUAGAUUGGAUACAGACCUGUCAUCAUCUGAAUCCUAGGCAGCAGCCUGAGCAAUAUUGGGCAUUUCAGUACCAGGUUAAAUAGACAAAAGAUCUAUUUAGAUACUAAAUCUGUUCCAAUUUUAAGAGGAGUUAUUACCAAUUGCUUUCCACCAUUCUUUACCUGUCCUAAUGCUAGUAAUUAUUAGUCUUUGCUUAUAGAAAUCAUAAUCAUUUCUGCCAGGAAUUUGAGGAUGAGUAGGUCUUCUUAAUAGUAUUUCUUGGAGUUCCCACCAUGACUAAGUGGUAAAGAACCCAACUAGUAUCCAUGAGGAUGAGGGUUCAACCCCUGUCUCACUCAGUGGAUUAGGGAUCUGGCGUUGCCAUGAGCUGUGGUAUAGGGUGCAGACACAGCUCGGAGCCCACAUUGCUAUGACUGUGGCAUAGGCCAGCAGCUACAGCUCUACUUCAACCCCUAGCCUCGGAACUCCC
rnacentral:lncRNA from 1 species